rnacentral:rRNA from 1 species
AUUGAACGCUGGCGGCAUGCUUUACACAUGCAAGUCGAACGGUAACAGGCCGCAAGGUGCUGGCGAGUGGCGAACGGGUGAGUAAUGCAUCGGAACGUGCCCAGUCGUGGGGGAUAACUACUCGAAAGAGUAGCUAAUACCGCAUACGAUCUAUGGAUGAAAGCGGGGGACCGUAAGGCCUCGCGCGAUUGGAGCGGCCGAUGUCAGAUUAGGUAGUUGGUGGGGUAAAGGCUCACCAAGCCAACGAUCUGUAGCUGGUCUGAGAGGACGACCAGCCACACUGGGACUGAGACACGGCCCAGACUCCUACGGGAGGCAGCAGUGGGGAAUUUUGGACAAUGGGCGCAAGCCUGAUCCAGCAAUGCCGCGUGCAGGAAGAAGGCCUUCGGGUUGUAAACUGCUUUUGUACGGAACGAAACGGCUCUGGUUAAUACCCGGGGCUAAUGACGGUACCGUAAGAAUAAGCACCGGCUAACUACGU